rnacentral:rRNA from 1 species
UACGUAGGGGGCAAGCGUUGUCCGGAUUUACUGGGCGUAAAGAGCGCGUAGGCGGAAGUUUAAGCGUAGCCUGAAAGCCCCCGGCUCAACCGGGGAGGGUGGCCGCGAACUGGACUUCUUGAGGGCGAUAGAGGAGAGCGGAAUUCCUGGUGUAGCGGUGAAAUGCGUAGAGAUCAGGAGGAACACCGGUGGCGAAGGCGGCUAUCUGGACAGAAACUGACGCUGAGGCGCGAAAGCUAGGGGAGCAAACAGG